UGACCAGGCACCAGGCAGGGAGCAAGGAACCAAGCCUUUCACCUGCUCCCACCAACUCCUAUGGUGCUCCCUUUCCAAGGCUAGGUCUCCUCUCCACCCAGUUCCUUAUCACGUACCAUGAGAAGCUGUCACCUUGGCAACUGUCACCUUCUGGUGAGAUUUACAAUUGCACUGCUACAACUGCUUGUGGCAUGGUAAAGUUGCACCAGGACCUCUGCUGUCCAUGAGAUCAAAGUUCCAGGCCAAGGCACCAGGGGCACGAACAGUGUUGCCCGCAUGGAACUCACACUUAAUGGGAGCGGCAGCCAACAGGAUGAUACCCGGCAAAUUCUUCAAAGCAGUGUUCUCCAACUUGAAUGUUUGUGAUGUGGGCGAUUCUGACUGAGGGGGUCUGUAGACCACAUCUUGAUAAACAAUGCUUUUUAAAAAA
rnacentral:lncRNA from 1 species